UACGUAGGUGACCAGCGUUGUCCGGAUUUACUGGGCGUAAAGAGCGCGCAGGCGGUCGUUCAAGUCGAGUGUGAAAGCCCACGGCUCAACCGUGGAGGGUCAUUGGAAACUGGAGAACUUGAGUACAGAAGAGGAAAGCGGAAUUCCACGUGUAGCGGUGAAAUGCGUAGAGAUGUGGAGGAACACCAGUGGCGAAGGCGGCUUUCUGGUCUGUAACUGACGCUGAGGCGCGAAAGCGUGGGGAGCAAACAGG
rnacentral:rRNA from 1 species